AUGGGAUUUUUGCUCCUGUUCAUUUUCGCUGUAGCCGCUUUGGAAGGUGUCCGGUCCCAGGUGCAGCUGGUGGAGUCCGGAGGGGAUGUGAAAAAGCCCGGAGACUCUCUCCGCCUCUCCUGCAAAGCCUCCGGGUUCACCUUCAGCAGCUACGAGAUGAGCUGGCUCCGACAGGCUCCCGGGAAGGGGCUGGAAUGGGUCGCUUAUAUUAGCAGCAGUGGGGGUACUAUAUACUACCUUGAUUCCGUGAAAGGCCGGUUCACCAUCUCCAGGGAUAAUCCCGAGAGUGAGCUGUACCUGCAAAUGAGCGCCCUGAAGCCCGAGGACACCGCCCGCUAUUACUGUGCGAGAGACACAGGAGAUUCCACAACCUCCCUGGGAAAUUUAUUCCAGUGCUUAACCACCCUGAUAGCUGCUCCUGGAGACACAAUCGGCAGCUCCUGGGUCUGUGCAGUUGCCAGCCAAAUCACCUGA